UACGUAGGGGGCAAGCGUUGUCCGGAAUCAUUGGGCGUAAAGAGCGUGUAGGCGGUUCGGUAAGUCGGCUGUGAAAGUCCAGGGCUCAACCCUGGGAUGCCGGUCGAUACUGCCGGACUAGAGUUCGGAAGAGGCGAGUGGAAUUCCCGGUGUAGCGGUGAAAUGCGCAGAUAUCGGGAGGAACACCUAUGGCGAAGGCAGCUCGCUGGGACGUUACUGACGCUGAGACGCGAAAGCGUGGGGAGCAAAUGGG
rnacentral:rRNA from 1 species